GGCUCAGAACGAACGCUGGCGGCAGGCUUAACACAUGCAAGUCGAACGCCCCGCAAGGGGAGUGGCAGACGGGUGAGUAACGCGUGGGAAUCUACCGUGCCCUGCGGAAUAGCUCCGGGAAACUGGAAUUAAUACCGCAUACGCCCUACGGGGGAAAGAUUUAUCGGGGUAUGAUGAGCCCGCGUUGGAUUAGCUAGUUGGUGGGGUAAAGGCCUACCAAGGCGACGAUCCAUAGCUGGUCUGAGAGGAUGAUCAGCCACAUUGGGACUGAGACACGGCCCAAACUCCUACGGGAGGCAGCAGUGGGGAAUAUUGGACAAUGGGCGCAAGCCUGAUCCAGCCAUGCCGCGUGAGUGAUGAAGGCCUUAGGGUUGUAAAGCUCUUUCACCGGAGAAGAUAAUGACGGUAUCCGGAGAAGAAGCCCCGGCUAACUUCGUGCCAGCAGCCGCGGUAAUACGAAGGGGGCUAGCGUUGUUCGGAAUUACUGGGCGUAAAGCGCACGUAGGCGGAUAUUUAAGUCAGGGGUGAAAUCCCAGAGCUCAACUCUGGAACUGCCUUUGAUACUGGGUAUCUUGAGUAUGGAAGAGGUAAGUGGAAUUCCGAGUGUAGAGGUGAAAUUCGUAGAUAUUCGGAGGAACACCAGUGGCGAAGGCGGCUUACUGGUCCAU
rnacentral:rRNA from 1 species